GCUGACAAAUAUUUUUACCUCUUGAUUUUCUGCUAAUUUCAGAGUAUGGGCGUAGGUAGAAUCGAUCUCAAAUGAAAAUUGUGACGGAAUUCCAGAAAUCCCAAAAUAAAAUGUUUUCUUUAUAUCGUUUUUACAAACUACAGCCUGAACGGCGUAGUUUUGGACAGGUUCAGAGAUAGAUUCCAACAGCAAUUCCGGAACAUUAACCAGACAUGAUCUUAGACUUUUAUACGAAACAAUACACCGCAUAUACUAUUUAGAAGUAUAAUUAUAUAGUUUGAAAUAAUCAACUCAACGUUACUCGUAUUCACCGAGUAAAACUUAUUAACAGUAGUAUGUUGUUGCUAAAGUAAACUUAUCUUGAGGACGAAAACUAUGUAGUAGCCUCCUUGCACACUCAACAACUAUGGUCGAAGAUAUAUAUUUUUUUUUUGUCAAUUUAUUAAAGGAAUAAAUGGGUUGGAGUGCCAAAUUUUUUUGUGAAAAAAAUUUCAAAAUUCAAAUUUACAAAAAGAUUAAUAGUAACAAUAAUUGAAAUUUAAGCAUCAUUAUAAUCUGUUCUUCUAAUAAGAACGUGACAGACCCUAAAACUCCUUCAAAUACGUUUAUGGAUUUUAUCGUAUUUUUUUAUAAUUUACAUUUGGUCUGAAUUUCAUGAUGAGUUUAAACAAUAUCAGUUCCAUUAUUAAGCUAAAAAGUAAAUACUAAAGCAUAGGAAAAGUUUAUUGUGAAAUGUUGUCUAUUUCAAUCUCAUCCUUUGAACGCCUCAACUAUUUUUUCCUCUUGUUAACACAUUGCUAUACGGAUGUACUAACGAAUUGUAUCGUAUGAAACAAAAUAGUUAAUAUUACAAAAAUCUUUAUGUUAAAACAUAGGGCUUACAGCCUCUCCAUUAGAACAUCACUUACAAAAAUAUUUCUGAAUUCUAAUAAUCAGUGAUUUUUGUGUGUAAUGACAAAAUAAAUCAGUAUGCAUUCGACUCGUUCCAAAAUAAGGCGCCUAACAGUAAUUAAAUCUCAAUAUACAUCACUUUCUUUGAUGCUGUUCAAACUUAGAAGCUAGGGCAUCGAUUUUCUUGUUUUGCCAAGUCCAAGAAGGAUACAAAAAUUGACGAAGGUCAUAACGAUUGUCAUCUACUCCAUACGUUUCAGCAUGAUAACUGGGAGUCAAAGUAGUCAUUUUGUGACGAUUGAUUCCAUAAUAGUGAAAAAAUCGCUUAACCUUUUCAGCAACCUUAUAAAGUUAGCGAGCAGUCAUUACUUCUAAAAUGAAUAAUGUCACUUACCUGACUUGGUGAUAAGCGAUCUCCCCAUUGAUGCAUUAAUUGAGUGAACAUGCUAUAAGGUCCACAUUUCGAAAUUUUUCGUAAUCUACCAAAAACGCUGAGUUCAGCAUAAGUCAUUCCCAUAUCAGCUUCAUCGCUUUGAACAUAACUUUCAGUGGUAGGUUCGAGUUCAGCAGUGGGCGUCGCGUCCAAAAAUUCCUGAAGGAUUGGUAAAUCUAAGGCCUCCUUGGCAUAACGUAAAAAUGAUUUUAAAUCGGUUUUAGAAAUACCUCCUAUGGGAUUAAUGUCGGCACUGGAACAAUCAUAUUUGGUCAAAUAGCCGCGAAGACUUGUAAAUUUGUCAGUAAAUAAAAUAAAAUUAUAAUAGAAAAGCAUACCACUCAUCCACAUUGGAACUUCCUAGCACCAAAAGAGAUCCCGAAUACCCACGAACCCAUGGCAACAGUUGAGCAAAUAGAUAUCCUAGCAACAUUCGUGACCGAGCCUGAAUGUUCUGUAACGCCAAAUUUUCAGCAUUUGUUCCUCCGUUUGAUCUAAAUUGAGGGGUUUUGCCAGUUACUAGUGCGAAUAAUUUAACAACAGCACUGGUCAUAGUGUCGAUGUUCACGUCUGUAUGAUAGGACCCAAUCAAAGAAGACAGUUCUUUCGCUCGACUCCUUGUUUCUUUAGAGGAAUGUUCAGAACCCAUAAACGCAGUAUAAAAUAAGUGGUUUAAAAGCUUUUUAGGAUCAGUAGAACUAUAGGAUGGAUCACCAACGAUUCUUCUAACAUCUGACAAAACCUGUGCAUCUAUUGAAGGUCAGUAAUUAGGAUGCAAAAGUUUAUCGUUACUUACCAUCUUCUUCCAUGGCUUUGCAAACAAUUCUGCACAUGCUAUAAACCAAAACAGCAGUAGAACAAGAAUCCAAACCACCGCUCAAAGGCAAAAAGAAUCCAGCUGCAUGAGAUCUCCUCAAAUAAUCCCAAAGCCAGCAAGCCGGACCAAAAGUGAUUUCUUCCUCAGGUAAAGGAAUAGUAACUUCAAUUGGAUCAGUUGGUUUUCUGUAAAUAUCAUAGUCUUGUUGAUAGCUACUGAGACUAAAAUUGACAUGAAUACGUUCAUAAGAUGGUCUAGUGACACCUUGGAUUCCAUGUGAUGGUUGGAAACGAUACGAACGAACAGUAUCAACGUCCACGGUAGCUGAAAUAACCUCAACAUCCUUCAAGGAGAACUGGUGUCCCUGGGCUAGCAUUUUUCCAUUCGCAAAGAUCAUUGAUGAACCGUCAUAGUAGAGACGACCACCAUCACAACCCCUCUGAUUAGAAUAUAGAUAAAUCCCACCGCAUUUUUCCGUAGCAUUUUGUAUCAAGUUUACUCUUGUUGUUAGUUUACGAAGUUCGUGGUGGGAUCCUGACGCAUUGAUAAAUAUCUCUACACCGUCCAAAGCCAUAUCAAUGUGAGGACUAUUUGGAGUAAACAGCUCUUCGCAGGUUUCCACACCAACAACGGUUUCAUUGCAUUGAAGAAUGGCAUCUCCAAUAGGAACGGUUGUUUGGUUUAAAGACUUUGCAACAAAAGUAGGCAAGUAAUGAGUUUCCACAACUCUUGGCCUUAACCAGGGAGUAAACCAACGAGACUCACGAAAAUUUCCAUCGUCACAAAGCCAAAUCUUGGGACGGAUUAACAAGAUUUUUCCAUUUAGAGCUAGAAUACGGCAGUUGUGACGCAUGGCUUUGUGCAUUACAGGCAUACCGAUGUCAAGGAGAAUGUCUUGGCAAUCAGGAUCGUGAAUAAUCGAACAUAACAUUUCCCAACUAUGGUAGUAAGUGUCACUUUCUAGAAAAUGAUCUUCACAGCCAUAGCCUCUAAUGCGUUUGUUAAUAGAAAGUUACAGUGCAUAAAAUUAAUAUCAAGGUAAAAUACAAGUUUCAAUAUUGCAAGAAGAUGAAUAAACUCAACCGAAGUCGCACUCAGUAAACUUGACCAUGGCUAUCCUUCAUGAAGUUUAAACUUUAGCUUAUUCACUGAUACACUUGCAACAUUUAAAUCCAUUUCUAUUACAUACGUGACUUCUAAUUCUGGACCAACACGAAGGCUUGCGUUUUGUCUUUUCGCCUCUUUGAUGGAAUCAAUGAUGCGUAGACGGUUUCCCUCAAAGUCCAUUGCCCACUGGUUCAGCUGACUACAGAAGUUAGAUCAUUGAGACGAAAAAUGAUUAUAGCAUACCAAGAUGCGAUGGUUACAUAUCGUUCCAUAAUGAACUGAAUGCUUAACUUGAGGUUUAUUCCCAAACAAGUAAUUUAACUUAUAAUGUUUUUUUCGUACUAUAAAAGUUCCAACUAUGAGUGAAGAUCGAAGUUUCUAUUCAAAUGUCUAUUCACGGUUAUGGCAGUAAGUAAGAGCAGGAGGUAGUUGUCAUAGUAGA